rnacentral:rRNA from 1 species
AGCGGAGGAAAAGAAACCAACAGGGAUUGCCCCAGUAACGGCGAGUGAAGCGGCAACAGCUCAAAUUUGAAAUCUGGCCCCUCGGGCCCGAGUUGUAAUUUGUAGAGGAUGCUUUUGGCAAGGUGCCGCCCGAGUUCCCUGGAACGGGACGCCGCAGAGGGUGAGAGCCCCGUCUGGCUGGCCGCCGAGCCUUUGUAAAGCUCCUUCGACGAGUCGAGUAGUUUGGGAAUGCUGCUCAAAAUGGGAGGUAUAUGUCUUCUAAAGCUAAAUAUUGGCCAGAGACCGAUAGCGCACAAGUAGAGUGAUCGAAAGAUGAAAAGCACUUUGAAAAGAGGGUUAAACAGUACGUGAAAUUGUUGAAAGGGAAGCGCUCAUGACCAGACUUGGGCUUGGCGGAUCAUCCGGCGUUCUCGCCGGUGCACUUCGCCUCGCCCAGGCCAGCAUCAGUUCGCGCCGGGGGACAAAAGCUUCGGGAAUGUGGCUCCUCCGGGAGUGUUAUAGCCCGUUGCAUAAUACCCUGGUGCGGACUGAGGUUCGCGCAUCUGCAAGGAUGCUGGCGUAAUGGUCAUCAGCGACCCGUCUUGA